AAUCUUUCGGUUAACAGCCGAACGCGCUAACCGAUUGCGCCACAGAGACAAGCGCUUCCGCUUCUACUGGUGAUAUGGGAAGGGCCCACUCACUGAACUAACUCCCUUCCCUCUACUCCCAGAGCCCGCCCGGCAGGACCACCGAGCAAGGCCUUGGAAAACCAGAGAGAUUAGAGCGCAGAAUGGGGAAAUGGAGAGAGAACCUGAAAGAGCCCCAAACUCGAGGACCUAUUGCUCCCCAAGAAUAACAUCUUCCAGAAGAACUAGACAGAAAACUAGGCGUCUGGGAACUCUGAAAUCCUUGGAGGAGUAGCAUCAUCAUGACCCUCUGUGUUCCUUUUGGCAAAGGACUUGCUCCCAUUGUUUGCUUGUUCCAUUGUCUGUCUGUUAAAUAAAUAAAACCCUUUUCAUAUAUCUUUAAACUUACGUUGGUUUUAUUAUUUCAUGAUUACAAAUAAUGCUGCAGUCAUCAUUCUUGUACACUCUCAUUGGCCACUGGUGUAUUUCUAUAGGGUGGAGGCCUGGAGAGUAGUUGUUCCAGCAUAGUGUUUACAUAGCUUUUAUUUCAUUCCGUUUUCUUUCCUUUGUUGCUUUAUUAGCUAUAACCCUUUUCUUAUUUAAGAGGCUGCUUUAGGGUUUCCGGGAUACAUCUUUAAUUUAUCAUAGUCUGCUUUCUAGUGUCAUUAUGCCUCCCUUUCUGGCCUUUAUCCUAGUGUUAUGUAGUUUUACUUUAUGCACUAUAAGCUUUGUGAUUCAUUAUUACUUUUAUUUAUUACGUCAAAUAUUUUUUGAAAGAUUUAAAUUAUAAGAAAACGUGUAGUACAUGUUUUCUAAAUGCCAUUUCCAAUAUUCGUUUCUUUGUGUAGGCCCACAUUUUUAUCUGGUAUCCUUUUGCUUCUGCCUGGAGGACUCUUAAGAUUUCUUGCAGCAUGGGUUGGUGAAUUCUUUUAGCUUUUGUAUUUUUUCAAUGUCCUUAUUUCACUCACAGUUAUGAAAUUUUAUUUUUGCAUAGAAUUCUAGAUUAACUUUUUUUCUCUAGGUACUUUAAAAAUGUUGCCAUUUAUGAAGCAUUGUCAUUUAAAAUAUCACCUUUCUUUCCUAUGUUUGUAAAUAUGGCGUAAAGCCGGUUUCUUGUGCUGGUUAUACAAUUUUCAGAAUGUGUAUUUAAAUUUAAAAUAUUAAAUUGUACUAAAAAACUAAAAA
ensembl:lncRNA novel transcript